UAAUACGUAGGGUGCAAGCGUUAAUCGGAAUUACUGGGCGUAAAGGGUGCGCAGGCGGUAUUGUAAGCCAGAUGUGAAAUCCCCGGGCUCAACCUGGGAACUGCGUUUGGAACUGCAAUGCUAGAGUGUGUCAGAGGGGGGUGGAAUUCCACGUGUAGCAGUGAAAUGCGUAGAGAUGUGGAGGAACACCGAUGGCGAAGGCAGCCCCCUGGGAUAACACUGACGCUCAGGCACGAAAGCGUGGGGAGCAAACAGG
rnacentral:rRNA from 1 species